AAUGAACGCUGGCGGCAGGCCUAACACAUGCAAGUCGAACGAGUGGCGGACGGGUGAGUAAUGUCUGGGAAACUGCCUGAUGGAGGGGGAUAACUACUGGAAACGGUAGCUAAUACCGCAUACCAUCGGAUGUGCCCAGAGGGGAUUAGCUAGUAGGUAGGGUAAAGGCUCACCUAGGCGACGAUCCCUAGCUGGUCUGAGAGGAUGACCAGCCACACUGGAAAUGAGACACGGUCCAGACUCCUACGUGAGGCAGCAGUGGGGAAUAUUGCGAAAGGGGCGAAAGCCUGAUGCAGCAAUGACGCGUGAAUGAAGAAGGCCUUGGGGUUGUAAAGUACUUUCAGCGGGGAGGCGUUACCCGCAGAAGAAGCACCGGCUAACUCCGUGCCAGCAGCCGCGGUAAUAC
rnacentral:rRNA from 1 species